GACGAGGGGGAGGAGCCUGGUGUGGACCAGCGCUGUGACCUUGGGCCCUGUCUCAGGGCUCAGUUUCCUUGGCUGCACCAGGAAUGGUGUUUGUGUUGGCAUUUGUGGUCCCUGUGUCAACUGCCAACUGCCACGGCAUGUGACACUGUCAGGGGACUGUAGGUGUGAGGAAGGACUCAGCUGGAGGGCUCGUGCCACCUCACCUCCAGGAAAGCACACCUGUUGGGAGAGCCAAAGUCACUGGGAACCUUCAGUGCAGUGGAGGAGCCCGGGCCAUGUGUUUACAGCUCUUCGUGUCUCUGCGGUCUGGGGAGGCGCCUGGCAGAGGUGAAACGGACGUGGACAGCCAGGCCUCCAUGCCCCGCUCACUUGGCCCUAAGCUUCCAGAAGACUUUCGGUGGAGCAAGGGGGGCACAGAAGCCUCCUGUCCUCUGUCACUCACUGCCCCAUGGCCACUGUGACUGGCAUGUCCUUGGUGUGCGGUGUACGGGUCCUUGGCAAGGUGGCCCGAGACAGCCACUCUGAGCAGGAGUCUUUGCCAGGGGCAGGGAAACAGCCAGGAGCAGCAGGUGCCAUUACCAGAGUCUGAGGUUUGCACUCAACUCCACCACAUUCACCUUUGGAGUCUGCUUUGGGCCGCUCUUGCUGCAGGGCUGAAGUUGGGGCUGGGAGCAUGGAAAAGAAUAAACUGAGUCUCGGUUCUGCUGCCUGCCUUGCAAGUGGAAGGACCCGAGUUCAAUCCCUGG
rnacentral:lncRNA from 1 species